rnacentral:rRNA from 1 species
GAGACAGCAGCAGCCACGGUAAUACGAGGGGGGCAAGCGUUGUUCGGAAUUAUUGGGCGUAAAGGGUGCGUAGGCGGCUUGACAAGUCUUGCGUGAAAUUCCUGGGCUCAACCUGGGGGCUGCGCUUGAUACUUGGUUGCUUGAGUGGGGAAGAGGGUCGUGGAAUUCCCAGUGUAGAGGUGAAAUUCGCAGAUAUUGGGAAGAACACCGGUGGCGAAGGCGGCGACCUGGUCCUUGACUGACGCUGAGGCGCGAAAGCGUGGGGAGCAAACAGGAUUAGAUACCCCGGUAGUCCCUGUCUCUUAUAC